AACCGCCAUACAGGUUAGUACGUCCAUGGCAGCGCGUUAGCGCAGCGGCUUUAUCGUCGACCACGGAUGUACUGGCGGCGCAGAGAAGCAAAAGAGGGCUGGUGCAGAGAUGCACCGGCCUUUUUUGUU
rnacentral:sRNA from 1 species